AGUGAACGCUGGCGGUAGGCCUAACACAUGCAAGUCGAACGGCAGCACAGUAAGAGCUUGCUCUUACGGGUGGCGAGUGGCGUACGGGUGAGGAAUACAUCGGAAUCUACUUUUUCGUGGGGGAUAACGUAGGGAAACUUACGCUAAUACCGCAUACGACCUACGGGUGAAAGCAGGGGAUCUUCGGACCUUGCGCGAUUGAAUGAGCCGAUGUCGGAUUAGCUAGUUGGCGGGGUAAAGGCCCACCAAGGCGACGAUCCGUAGCUGGUCUGAGAGGAUGAUCAGCAACACUGGAACUGAGACACGGUCCAGACUCCUACGGGAGGCAGCAGUGGGGAAUAUUGGACAAAGGGCGCAAGCCUGAUCCAGCCAUACCGCGUGGGUGAAGAAGGCCUUCGGGUUGUAAAGCCCUUUUGUUGGGAAAGAAAAGCAGCAGGUUAAUACCCCGCUGUUCUGACGGUACCCAAAGAAUAAGCACCGGCUAACUUCGUG
rnacentral:rRNA from 1 species